ensembl:lncRNA
GAAAGUCAAAGGUAGCAACAUGAGGACUGAACCAGCAGCACAGCAACAGGGCGAACAUCAGUAUGGACCCUUGGUGCGUGCAACGGGUCGCGACCUCUUUACACGCGGCCCCGCGGAGGCCCGGGUCAGCACACACCUGAACCCUACCCCUCGCACUGGGCAUCCGGGCUCAGAGCCACUGAACCAGCCUGACCUCCACUCCACACUCUUACUCCUCAGAGACUUUACAAACAACACAGGAGACACACACUGGCACUUUGUUAACAUAUACUUCACAGUCUGCAGCCAGCCAGGGGAAAUAUAGACAGAGAUGAAUGUAUAGACACUCAGUUUAUAGAUGAUAUAUGGGCUGAAUUUGUAUGCAUGAUGGCAAGAAACUCUCAUUAGCUAUUUGCUUUAUUAGAGAUAUUGCUGUUCAUGU